rnacentral:rRNA from 1 species
UACUGGCGCACGGGUGAGUAAUAUAUAAGUAAUCUGCCCAAGGGAUUGGGAUAACUUCGAGAAAUCGGAGCUAAUACCGAAUAAUGCAGCGGCACCACAUGGUGAUGUUGUUAAAGUUGCAGCAAUGUAACGCCUUUGGAUGAGCUUGUAUUCGAUUAGCUAGUUGGCGGGGUAAAUGCCCACCAAGGCUACGAUCGAUAGCUGGUCUGAGAGGAUGAUCAGCCACACUGGAACUGAGAUACGGUCCAGACUCCUACGGGAGGCAGCAGUGAGGAAUAUUGGGCAAUGGGCGAAAGCCUGACCCAGCAACGCCGCGUGAAGGAUGAACGUCGUAAGAUCGUAAACUUCUUUUCUAAGGGAAGAAUGAUUAUGUUUCGCAAGGGGCAUAAUUUGACUGUACUUUAGGAAUAAGCCCCGGCUAACUACGUGCCAGCAGCCGCGGUAAUACGUAGGGGGCUAGCGUCGUCCGGAUUCACUGGGUAUAAAGGGCGCGUAGGCGGACUUGUAAGUCAAGGGUGAAAUCUCACCGCUUAACGGUGAAACUGCCUUUGAUACUGCAAGCCUUGAGUUCAGAAGAGAGAAAUGGAAUUCCAGGUGUAGUGGUGAAAUACGUAGAUAUCUGGAAGAACACCAGAGGCGAAGGCGAUUUCUUGGUCUGUAACUGACGCUGAGGCGCGAAAGCGUGGGGAUCAAACAGGAUUAGAUACCCUGGUAGUCCACGCUGUAAACGAUGAAUACUAGAUGUUGGUCCCAUUGGGAUCAGUGUCGCAGCAAACGCAUUAAGUAUUCCACCUGGGGAGUACGAUCGCAAGGUUGAAACUCAAAGGAAUUGACGGGGGCCCGCACAAGCAGUGGAGCAUGUGGUUUAAUUCGAUGCAACGCGAAGAACCUUACCUAGGCUUGAAAAGCAAAUGACAGGGUAUGAAAGUAUCCCUCCAGCAAUGGCAUUUGUACAGGUGCUGCAUGGCUGUCGUCAGCUCGUGCCGUGAGGUGUUGGGUUAAGUCCCGCAACGAGCGCAACCCUUACUAUUAAUUGCCAUCA